rnacentral:sRNA from 1 species
UAAACAUGUUGCCGAUGUGGUCGUUGUC